AUGGGAUUUUGGGGCCUUUUGGGUCCAUUUUGGGUUAAAUUAAUGGGAUUUUGGGGCUAUUUGGGGUUGAAUCAAUGGGAUUUUGGGGUUAUUUGGGUUGAAUUACUGGGAUUUCGGGGCCAUUUUGGGUCUAUUUGGUUCCAUUUUGGGUUGAUUUGUGCUGAUUUUGGGUCUAUUAUUGAUUAUUUCAGUGCCAGCCGGGACCUUCGAAGCCACCGACGGAGCCGCCACCCCCACAGCAGCCAACAGAGGAGCCCAGCAAGGAGCCAAAAAAGGAAAAUGGGGCCGGGAGCAGGUAACAAAAAUGGGGUGAAAAUGGGCAAAAAUGGGCAAAAAUGGGGUAAAAAUGGCGAUUUUGGGGCAAAAAUGGGCAAAAAUGGGCUAAAAAUGGGCAAAAAUGGACCAAAAAUGGCGAUUUUGGGGUAAAAAUGGGCCAAAAAUGGUGAUUUUGGGGCAAAAAUGGGCAAAAAUGGGGCAAAAAUGGGGGAAUUUGGGGCAAAAAUGGGGGAAUUUGGGGCAAAAAUGGGGGAUUUGGGGGAGAAAAUGGGAAUUUUGGGAUUAAAAUGGGGAAAUUUGGGUCAAAAAUGGGGGAUUUUGAGGUAAAAAUGUGCAAAAAUGGGCCAAAAAUGGUGAUUUUGGGGCAAAAAUGGGCAAAAAUGGGGCAAAAAUGGCAAUUUUGGGUCAAAAUGGGCUAAAAAUGGCGAUUUUGGGGCAAAAAUGGGCAAAAAUGGGCCAAAAUGGGCAAAAAUGGGGCAAAAAUGGGCAAAAAUGGGCCAAAAAUGGCGAUUUUGGGGUAAAAAUGGGCAAAAAUGGGCCAAAAAUGGCGAUUUUGGGGCAAAAAUGGGCAAAAAAUGG
rnacentral:lncRNA from 1 species